rnacentral:rRNA from 1 species
UCUUUAUGGGGUGACUGCGUACCUUUUGUAUAAUGGGUCAGCGACUUAUAUUCUGUAGCAAGGUUAACCGAAUAGGGGAGCCGAAGGGAAACCGAGUCUUAACUGGGCGUUAAGUUGCAGGGUAUAGACCCGAAACCCGGUGAUCUAGCCAUGGGCAGGUUGAAGGUUGGGUAACACUAACUGGAGGACCGAACCGACUAAUGUUGAAAAAUUAGCGGAUGACUUGUGGCUGGGGGUGAAAGGCCAAUCAAACCGGGAGAUAGCUGGUUCUCCCCGAAAGCUAUUUAGGUAGCGCCUCGUGAAUUCAUCUCCGGGGGUAGAGCACUGUUUCGGCAAGGGGGUCAUCCCGACUUACCAACCCGAUGCAAACUGCGAAUACCGGAGAAUGUUAUCACGGGAGACACACGGCGGGUGCUAACGUCCGUCGUGAAGAGGGAAACAACCCAGACCGCCAGCUAAGGUCCCAAAGUCAUGGUUAAGUGGGAAACGAUGUGGGAAGGCCCAGACAGCCAGGAUGUUGGCUUAGAAGCAGCCAUCAUUUAAAGAAAGCGUAAUAGCUCACUGGUCGAGUCGGCCUGCGCGGAAGAUGUAACGGGGCUAAACCAUGCACCGAAGCUGCGGCAGCGACACUAUGUGUUGUUGGGUAGGGGAGCGUUCUGUAAGCCUGUGAAGGUGUACUGUGAGGUAUGCUGGAGGUAUCAGAAGUGCGAAUGCUGACAUAAGUAACGAUAAAGCGGGUGAAAAGCCCGCUCGCCGGAAGACCAAGGGUUCCUGUCCAACGUUAAUCGGGGCAGGGUGAGUCGACCCCUAAGGCGAGGCCGAAAGGCGUAGUCGAUGGGAAACAGGUUAAUAUUCCUGUACUUGGUGUUACUGCGAAGGGGGGACGGAGAAGGCUAUGUUGGCCGGGCGACGGUUGUCCCGGUUUAAGCGUGUAGGCUGAUUUUCCAGGCAAAUCCGGAAAAUCAAGGCUGAGGCGUGAUGACGAGGCACUACGGUGCUGAAGCAACAAAUGCCCUGCUUCCAGGAAAAGCCUCUAAGCAUCAGGUAACAUCAAAUCGUACCCCAAACCGACACAGGUGGUCAGGUAGAGAAUACCAAGGCGCUUGAGAGAACUCGGGUGAAGGAACUAGGCAAAAUGGUGCCGUAACUUCGGGAGAAGGCACGCUGAUAUGUAGGUGAAGCGACUUGCUCGUGGAGCUGAAAUCAGUCGAAGAUACCAGCUGGCUGCAACUGUUUAUUAAAAACACAGCACUGUGCAAACACGAAAGUGGACGUAUACGGUGUGACGCCUGCCCGGUGCCGGAAGGUUAAUUGAUGGGGUUAGCGGUAACGCGAAGCUCUUGAUCGAAGCCCCGGUAAACGGCGGCCGUAACUAUAACGGUCCUAAGGUAGCGAAAUUCCUUGUCGGGUAAGUUCCGACCUGCACGAAUGGCGUAAUGAUGGCCAGGCUGUCUCCACCCGAGACUCAGUGAAAUUGAACUCGCUGUGAAGAUGCAGUGUACCCGCGGCAAGACGGAAAGACCCCGUGAACCUUUACUAUAGCUUGACACUGAACAUUGAGCCUUGAUGUGUAGGAUAGGUGGGAGGCUUUGAAGUGUGGACGCCAGUCUGCAUGGAGCCGACCUUGAAAUACCACCCUUUAAUGUUUGAUGUUCUAACGUUGGCCCGUUAUCCGGGUUGCGGACAGUGUCUGGUGGGUAGUUUGACUGGGGCGGUCUCCUCCUAAAGAGUAACGGAGGAGCACGAAGGUUGGCUAAUCCUGGUCGGACAUCAGGAGGUUAGUGCAAUGGCAUAAGCCAGCUUGACUGCGAGCGUGACGGCGCGAGCAGGUGCGAAAGCAGGUCAUAGUGAUCCGGUGGUUCUGAAUGGAAGGGCCAUCGCUCAACGGAUAAAAGGUACUCCGGGGAUAACAGGCUGAUACCGCCCAAGAGUUCAUAUCGACGGCGGUGUUUGGCACCUCGAUGUCGGCUCAUCACAUCCUGGGGCUGAAGUAGGUCCCAAGGGUAUGGCUGUUCGCCAUUUAAAGUGGUACGCGAGCUGGGUUUAGAACGUCGUGAGACAGUUCGGUCCCUAUCUGCCGUGGGCGCUGGAGAACUGAGGGGGGCUGCUCCUAGUACGAGAGGACCGGAGUGGACGCAUCACUGGUGUUCGGGUUGUCAUGCCAAUGGCACUGCCCGGUAGCUAAAUGCGGAAGAGAUAAGUGCUGAAAGCAUCUAAGCACGAAACUUGCCCCGAGAUGAGUUCUCCCUGACUCCUUGAGAGUCCUGA